rnacentral:rRNA from 1 species
AACGAACGCUGGCGGCAGGCCUAACACAUGCAAGUCGAGCGGCAGCACGGGUACUUGUACCUGGUGGCGAGCGGCGGACGGGUGAGUAAUGCCUAGGAAUCUCCCUGGUAGUGGGGGAUAACGCUCGGAAACGGACGCUAAUACCGCAUACGUCCUACGGGAGAAAGCAGGGGACCUUCGGGCCUUGCGCUAUCAGAUGAGCCUAGGUCGGAUUAGCUAGUUGGUGAGGUAAUGGCUCACCAAGGCGACGAUCCGUAACUGGUCUGAGAGGAUGAUCAGUCACACUGGAACUGAGACACGGUCCAGACUCCUACGGGAGGCAGCAGUGGGGAAUAUUGGACAAUGGGCGAAGGCCUGAUCCAGCCAUGCCGCGUGUGUGAAGAAGGUCUUCGGAUUGUAAAGCACUUUAAGUUGGGAGGAAGGGCAUUUAC